GUGUGUUGAUUGACAAAAAGACAAUGUCACACAUCACCUCAGAAGGCAAGGUCAACACUGUGAUUCAAGCCAUCAAUUUGGCUUCCUUCUGGGAGCAAAAGAAGAAUUGAAUGAAACAGAGACCUGGGAAGACAUUUUCAACAAGUUAGUGAAGUUUCUCAACUCCUCAAGAUUGAACCUAAGCAACCUUCUAAGCUCUCUUUCAUUCAUGAGCAAAUAGCUCUCCUCUUCACCAAAACCAACAGCUAGAUAAUAUUCACCUUGUCUUCUUUCAACCGCACUCAUGUGGGAGAAUGUGAGCUCAGGACUAUGUGGAAUAUCCUAAACGUCAGACACCUGGAUUUGGCUACGAAAAGAGAUGAGCUUCGUGAACCAAUCUCUGAGAAGAACAAACUUGGCCUCUCUUUCUUGAGAGAUUUUGUCGACUUUCUCAUCGAGUGGCAAAACAGUAAAGCACCUGGCCUCAGAAACCUUCCUAGCAACAAAGCAGACGUGCUUUGCUCCAGCAGAUCUGGUAGAGUAUCUUCUCCUAGAUGAAGACUUCUCCUAUGUACUCCUCGGCAUGUUCCAGUCUGAUCCCAUCGAAAGAAGGUUUGGCUGGUACAGAGAACUAAGUGAAGGUAUCUACUACAUCAGCGUGAGACAGAUCCUGGAAGCAGAGAAAAUAUUCGUAUUCUGAGUCUUGUCAGAUUCUCAGGUCCGACUACUUCAGAAAUUAAAGGUCUGCUGGAUGAAGACAUGGUAAAAGCUGAGCUCAUGGAUGCUCUCUACUUAGUUGCCGGGUAUAUUGGUUUUUCUUUGAAGAAGAAGAUCAGCUGUACAUCAUGCCAAGAGUUAAUGGUCAUCAGAGACACACCUA
rnacentral:lncRNA from 1 species